CGCAGUGUGCGAGCGGCCAGGUUGGGAGUUAAACUCCUGGCUUUUGCACUAAGCCCGGGUUGAAUAUAGGUUAAGCUAAGUACACACGCGUAUGUAUUGAGUGGUACUGCACAUUCCUACACUGUAGGUCUCGAGUCUCUCGAUCUUUUUCUAGCGUGUGAUGGACGUAUACGCGUGUGUGCAUAUGACGUGAGUGUAGUAUGUGCGUCUCUUGGACACUUAAAAAAAGAAAUUUUAGCGUAUUUAUUUAGGUUAUCAUCUAAGCCGUCGGCCAUGCUUGCUCCUACACGCGAGAUCGACAAGCUGAGCAACGACGGAACCCCAGAUCGGGCCCCGGUGCCAAGAUCGAGCCCCUAGCAGCCGGGAGCUUUUCCGUGCAGAAUCGAGUUCCCCGUCGUUGGCCAUGCCUGUUCUGUCCUCCCAUCCCCCUUGUCUCUCUAUUGCCAUUUUCCACCAAGAAAUGCUUUAAAGUUGAUCUUCUUGCUGGGGUGGUUGUGGAUUUCUGGCGGUUGCAGGUAAGGAAGCUGUUCGGGACGCAGGAUUACCUCAAGAGCAAGGUCCUGACGCAGUGAUGCCACAGAUGAUCAGAUCUGCCAAUGGUGGGGUCUGUGAGAACGAGUUGAAGAGCCUGGAGAACAAACUCCUCUACGUGACCAAUACUGCCACAUGUUUGCAGUGAUCACCUAUGAUCACCACUCUGACAUAUUAAUCUACGUUUUUACCGUGAACAUCAUAGCAACAGAGAGAAAGAAGAUGGUAAGGUCAUGCUACUUUCAGUAAUACAACUACUGAAGCUAUAAUUUUUUUUAGCUCUAUAUGUUUUCUAAUAUCUCUUAAUAAUUGCCGUCCUUCUCAACAAAGUUUAGAAUCGAGUCUUGCUGGGAACCCAAAGGGGCUCUUCAUUACAGGUAUGUUAUGCUCCUCCUCCUUCUGAGGUCUCAAGUUUUGUUCAUUUCAGGACUGUAAUAUGUCUUGGCAAUGCAAGGUUGUGGACACAGAUCUCGCAUGUUUUACAGCCUCUUUCAAGUUUUAAAUAUUGUGCAUAUGUCAAAUAUUGCACUCUUGCCUUAGUGAUAUGAUAGAAUAUAGUCUUCCAAUUGAUAUCUUUCUCUUUGUGAGGUCUAAGUAUUCAGUUUGUUAAAUAGGAUCCACAUCUAUAUACAUCAAAAUUUGUCAUUUUGAUUAAAAUCAAUGUAAGGCAGCGUCAUCAAUCUAUAGUACGGUGUCCUGCCCUAUACCAUGUGGGCAGAUGCUUGCCAAGGGAUUAAAAAGGGCUCCAAGGUGAUGUAAUGAAGCAAAAUUAUCCUUCAUCGUCCACACAUGCCAGCUCUGAUUUCUUAGAGAGAAAUAGGCACAACUUGCCUCAUUCUUGUAUGAAGCCUUAUAGUGUUAGUAACUUCUUACAGGAAUUUAAUCCCUACAUGGCUAUUUCAAUGUUUUAAGACCAUUUAAACGCUUUGUGCCCUGUUUGCUAGACAGCUAUCCCAGCAUCCAGAAUUUAAUCGCUACAUGGCUACUCUGCUGCUGCUAUUGACUUUUUUCAUUUGACAGUUUAAUUGUGUUGGUGGGACUGGGAUUUGAAAUGUCAUUUUUUUUAUGUUCCUUGCACAGGAUUUACAUUGCACUUUGGUGCUUUCUUAUAGUUCAGUACCCAGCUGAUAUAAUUUUGUCAUCUUGUGGUUUUGGUUAUAGAGAAAAAGAUUGAGGCCCAUGCAACAAUGCCCUGAGCAAGGUAAUAAUUAUUGGAUUUUACGUGCUUUUUAUUCAAAAAACGUAACUUUCUGCCUCUCUAUUUUUCCCCGUUUGUACUUUUUUGUUCACAUUCUGUAUGGGAACCUCCCCUAUGGGUUUCUUCAUACUAUCAACCAAAGCGUCUUAAGGAGCUCUAGAAAUAUUUCCUGAUUAUGGUAUUUACAAUCUUUGAGACACACUAUAGCAAUAUGUUAUGGAAUACAAGUGAUAGACCACCUAGAUCUAAGGGCUGCCAAAUUUACGAAGGUAACUUUCUUUCUGAUGCUUUUCUUGAAUACUAAAUUCUUAAUACAGCAUUACCUUAGUCAGGCAUUUAUUUAAUACGGCGUAUACACAUUUGUCCGUAAGGGGUAAUUGUACUUAUUUACAAUCAAACAUAGCCAAUUAUGAAUUUGGACAAUAGUGGAUUUUGAAAGUUGAACUGCUGAAAUGAAAAUAAUAUUUCCUGCACAGAAAUAAUUUGGACCAUAAGAAACGAGAGAAGCUGCCAAUUUGGGUCACCAGACUCUACAUGCAUUUUUUUUCCAGUUUCUAUUGCUUAAUUAAUUCCUAUUUAUUUACACAUACAAAGUUAUGUACACCGGUUUGUUAUAUUCUUCAAUCAUGCUCCAUGAAGUGCUUUUUUUUUUAAUUCGGCUCUGUGCAUGCUUAGUGUGCACUCUCUGCAUCGCUGACAAAAAAAGAGGAUACUGUUUAAAUCAUGGACCAUGUUCUGCAGAAUGUAAUGGCGAAAUCUUAGAGUCUGUGUUAGCUCCGUUAGUCAUUUUUCAGUCUUCAGUCAAAUUGGAGUCACUGAAUCAAACUGGUUUACCUUUGCCAGGUUAGUCAGACUGGUGCUUGGGGUGUAAUGCUCAGCUAAACAAGAUUUUUAAGAAGACCGAACUACAUGUUACAAGAAACACCAUUGCUACAUAUGGAAAGUGUUACACGGAUCAAGAAGGAAAAACAUGAAGACCAACAUCAUCGCCAUCUCCUCGGCAUCCCCUAUUGUCAUGAUCACAUGAACGCAGGGAUCAUUACUGUGAGAUCUUAACUGGCAGCAUUUGGUAAAAGCCCCAUGUUGAAUUGGUCGUGCUUGUCAGGAUUAACUGGAUUCUCGGUCUCUCUGUCUCUAUCAACAAAAGCACUUGCUGCGUUUUGAACGAGCGUUUCGCCAAGCCACGCGGCAUCGGCCGUGUCAUCAUUCUAGUUGACUAUGGUACCGUCAAGAAGAAGGCUUGUGCCUAGCAGGCCAAGCGGGUCGUGCCUGUUUGGGCCGUGUCUUGCCAGCCCACCGUGCUGAGGUGGUGGCCCAGCAUUGCCCGAUGGAUCGUGCUGUGUUGGUCAGAGCAUGAUUGCGAUCAGCCUGUCUGUGAUUACUGUUUCUAUGGUGGUAGUUGGACACCGGUACUUCAAGUCUUUUAUAAUGAUAGGGGCACCGCACAAUGUAAUUUGAAUUGAGACAAUAAGAUGAUGUAGGCUUUGACUGAAUCUCGUUAAAAUUUUCA